rnacentral:rRNA from 1 species
ACGCACGCUGGCGGCGUGCUUAACCCAUGCACGUCGAACGGUAAGGCUCCAGCUUGCUGGGGUACACGAGUGGCGAACGGGUGAGUAACACGUGGGUGACCUGCCCUGCACUUCGGGAUAAGCCUGGGAAACUGGGUCUAAUACCGGAUAGGACCGCACCGUGAGGGUGUGGUGGAAAGUUUUUUCGGUGUGGGAUGGGCCCGCGGCCUAUCAGCUUGUUGGUGGGGUAAUGGCCUACCAAGGCGGCGACGGGUAGCCGGCCUGAGAGGGUGGACGGCCACAUUGGGACUGAGACACGGCCCAGACUCCUACGGGAGGCAGCAGUGGGGAAUAUUGCACAAUGGGCGGAAGCCUGAUGCAGCGACGCCGCGUGGGGGAUGACGGCCUUCGGGUUGUAAACUCCUUUCACCAUCGACGAAGGGUUUCUGACGGUAGAUGGAGAAGAAGCACCGGCUAACUACGUG